rnacentral:rRNA from 1 species
AUGGAUGACACCCAAUGCCCCAUUCUUAGUUGGAAUGUGAGAGGGCUCAACAUGCCUACGAAGCAUGAUGCAGUCUCUGAAGUUGUGACAGCCCAUCGCCCCAUGAUUCUUUGUCUUCAGGAAACAAAGAUUGAUAGCUGGUCGCCGGCCUUAGUCAGGGACAUAGGAGGAGCUAGAUUAGCUGAUUGCAUAGUUCUACCUGCGUUUGGCACUAGGGGCGGGGUGGCCAUCUUCUGGGACCGUCAGGUUGUUUCGAUUGCCUCCCACGCCAUUGGAGAGUUCACCAUCACUGCAAAGGUUACUGUCAAUAGUUCAGCCACCUCUUUCUGGAUCACCUCUGUCUACGGGCCGACGGAUGAGGCUAGGAAAGAGGUUUUCCUGCUCGAAUUAGCUAGAUCAGCCCCGCCCUCUAGCGAGCCAUGGCUUCUCAUAGGAGAUUUCAACGUCAUUUAUGAGGCUAGGGAUAAGAACAACCUUAGUCUAAACCGGCGCAUUAUGGGUAGAUUUAGAGAUGCCAUCGAUGCGGCCGGCUUGUGGGAGAUCAAGUGUAGAAAUAGACGCUUCACUUGGAGCAACGAGCGGCAAAACCCCACCUUGGUUAGUAUAGAUAAAUUCUUCUGCACCGUUAGUUGGGAACUCCUUUUCCCCGCCUACGGCCUGAUGGCCUUGGCAACGGCAUGCUCUGACCACUGCCUAUUGAUCCUAGCGACGUGUGACGCCCCGGUCCGCCGUGCACGCUUCCGUUUCGAGUCUUUCUGGCCAAAGUUCCCGCACUUCCACACGACGGUCGAGUGGGCAUGGGAUCGCCCGGUGCGGCAGUCUGCGCCUUUGCAAGGCUUCAGACCAAGCUAA